CUUGCCUUUUGGGAAGUCUGAAGUCUUCUGCCAGCAUUCAGUGAGAACCAGGAGGUGAAGUGACUCACCUAAAGUCACCUGGGUGCUAAAUGACAGAGCCUGGUUGCACCACAGGGGAAAUUUGGACACAGACACACAUACAGGAGGAAUGCCAUGUGAAGAUAAAGACAGAGAUUGCAGUGAUGCUUCUACAAGGCAAUGAAUGGCAAAGAUUGCCAGCAAACCACUAGAAGCUAAGGAAGAGGCAUGGGGCAGAUUCUCCCACACAGCUUACAGAAGGAACCAACCCUACUCACACCUUGAUCUUGGACUUCUAUCCUCCACAACUGCACCGAGGAAAAGCCAUGGGAGUAAACAGCAAGAAGGUGGCUGUCUACAACAAAAGGGAGAGCUCUCAUCAGACGCUAAACCUGCUGUCACCUUGAUCUUGGACUUCCACUCUUCAGAACUGUGAGAAGAUAAAAAUUUAUAUUGUUUAAGCCCCCCAGUCUGUGGUAUUUUGUUUAAAGCAGCCUGAGCUAACACACUGGGUGGUCCACUUGGGUCUCUCCUUGUGCUCC